rnacentral:rRNA from 1 species
UAACCUGCCUGUAAGACUGGGAUAACUCCGGGAAACCGGAGCUAAUACCGGAUAGUUCCUUGAACCGCAUGGUUCAAGGAUGAAAGACGGUUUCGGCUGUCACUUACAGAUGGACCCGCGGCGCAUUAGCUAGUUGGUGGGGUAAUGGCUCACCAAGGCGACGAUGCGUAGCCGACCUGAGAGGGUGAUCGGCCACACUGGGACUGAGACACGGCCCAGACUCCUACGGGAGGCAGCAGUAGGGAAUCUUCCGCAAUGGACGAAAGUCUGACGGAGCAACGCCGCGUGAGUGAUGAAGGUUUUCGGAUCGUAAAGCUCUGUUGUUAGGGAAGAACAAGUGCGAGAGUAACUGCUCGCACCUUGACGGUACCUAACCAGAAAGCCACGGCUAACUACGUGCCAGCAGCCGCGGUAAUACGUAGGUGGCAAGCGUUGUCCGGAAUUAUUGGGCGUAAAGGGCUCGCAGGCGGUUUCUUAAGUCUGAUGUGAAAGCCCCCGGCUCAACCGGGGAGGGUCAUUGGAAACUGGGAAACUUGAGUGCAGAAGAGGAGAGUGGAAUUCCACGUGUAGCGGUGAAAUGCGUAGAGAUGUGGAGGAACACCAGUGGCGAAGGCGACUCUCUGGUCUGUAACUGACGCUGAGGAGCGAAAGCGUGGGGAGCGAACAGGAUUAGAUACCCUGGUAGUCCACGCCGUAAACGAUGAGUGCUAAGUGUUAGGGGGUUUCCGCCCCUUAGUGCUGCAGCUAACGCAUUAAGCACUCCGCCUGGGGAGUACGGUCGCAAGACUGAAACUCAAAGGAAUUGACGGGGGCCCGCACAAGCGGUGGAGCAUGUGGUUUAAUUCGAAGCAACGCGAAGAACCUUACCAGGUCUUGACAUCCUCUGACAACCCUAGAGAUAGGGCUUUCCCUUCGGGGACAGAGUGACAGGUGGUGCAUGGUUGUCGUCAGCUCGUGUCGUGAGAUGUUGGGUUAAGUCCCGCAACGAGCGCAACCCUUGAUCUUAGUUGCCAGCAUUUAGUUGGGCACUCUAAGGUGACUGCCGGUGACAAACCGGAGGAAGGUGGGGAUGACGUCAAAUCAUCAUGCCCCUUAUGACCUGGGCUACACACGUGCUACAAUGGACAGAACAAAGGGCUGCGAGACCGCAAGGUUUAGCCAAUCCCAUAAAUCUGUUCUCAGUUCGGAUCGCAGUCUGCAACUCGACUGCGUGAAGC